rnacentral:rRNA from 1 species
UGGAUGGGUAGGGGAGCGUCGUGUGCCGGGUGAAGCAGCCGCGGAAGCGAGUUGUGGACGGUUCACGAGUGAGAAUGCAGGCAUGAGUAGCGAUACACACGUGAGAAACGUGUGCGCCGAUUGACUAAGGGUUCCUGGGUCAAGCUGAUCUGCCCAGGGUAAGUCGGGACCUAAGGCGAGGCCGACAGGCGUAGUCGAUGGACAACCGGUUGAUAUUCCGGUACCCGCUUUGAAACGCCCAAUACUGAAUCAGGCGAUGCUAAGUCCGUGAAGCCGGCCCGAUCUCUUCGGAGUUGAGGGUAGUGGUGGAGCCGACGAACCAGACUUGUACUAGGUAAGCGAUGGGGUGACGCAGGAAGGUAGUCCAGCCCGGGCGGUGGUUGUCCCGGGGUAAGGGUGUAGGACGCACGGUAGGCAAAUCCGUCGUGCAUGAAGUCUGAGACCUGAUGCCGAGCCGAUUGUGGUGAAGUGGAUGAUCCUAUGCUGUCGAGAAAAGCCUCUAGCGAGUUUCAUGGCGGCCCGUACCCUAAACCGACUCAGGUAGUCAGGUAGAGAAUACCGAGGCGUUCGGGUGAACUAUGGUUAAGGAACUCGGCAAAAUGCCCCCGUAACUUCGGGAGAAGGGGGGCCAUCACUGGUGAUCCGAUUUACUCGGUGAGCUGGGGGUGGCCGCAGAGACCAGCGAGAAGCGACUGUUUACUAAAAACACAGGUCCGUGCGAAGCCGUAAGGCGAUGUAUACGGACUGACGCCUGCCCGGUGCUGGAACGUUAAGGGGACCGGUUAGCUGACUUUCGGGUCGGCGAAGCUGAGAACUUAAGCGCCAGUAAACGGCGGUGGUAACUAUAACCAUCCUAAGGUAGCGAAAUUCCUUGUCGGGUAAGUUCCGACCUGCACGAAUGGCGUAACGACUUCUCGACUGUCUCAACCAUAGGCCCGGUGAAAUUGCACUACGAGUAAAGAUGCUCGUUUCGCGCAGCAGGACGGAAAGACCCCGGGACCUUUACUAUAGUUUGAUAUUGGUGUUCGGUUCGGCUUGUGUAGGAUAGGUGGGAGACUUUGAAGCGGCCACGCCAGUGGUUGUGGAGUCGUCGUUGAAAUACCACUCUGGUCGUGCUGGAUGUCUAACCUGGGUCCGUGAUCCGGAUCAGGGACAGUGUCUGAUGGGUAGUUUAACUGGGGCGGUUGCCUCCUAAAGAGUAACGGAGGCGCCCAAAGGUUCCCUCAGCCUGGUUGGCAAUCAGGUGUUGAGUGUAAGUGCACAAGGGAGCUUGACUGUGAGACCGACGGGUCGAGCAGGGACGAAAGUCGGGACUAGUGAUCCGGCAGUGGCUUGUGGAAGCGCUGUCGCUCAACGGAUAAAAGGUACCCCGGGGAUAACAGGCUGAUCUUCCCCAAGAGUCCAUAUCGACGGGAUGGUUUGGCACCUCGAUGUCGGCUCGUCGCAUCCUGGGGCUGGAGUCGGUCCCAAGGGUUGGGCUGUUCGCCCAUUAAAGCGGUACGCGAGCUGGGUUUAGAACGUCGUGAGACAGUUCGGUCCCUAUCCGCUGUGCGCGUAGGAAUAUUGAGAAGGGCUGUCCCUAGUACGAGAGGACCGGGACGGACGAACCUCUGGUGUGCCAGUUGUCCUGCCAAGGGCAUGGCUGGUUGGCUACGUUCGGAAAGGAUAACCGCUGAAAGCAUCUAAGCGGGAAGCCUGCUUCGAGAUGAGUAUUCCCACCACCUUGAGUGGUUAAGGCUCCCAGUAGACGACUGGGUUGAUAGGCCAGAUGUGGAAGCCCGGUAACGGGUGGAGCUGACUGGUACUAAUAGGCCGAGGGCUUGUCCUCAGUUG